rnacentral:rRNA from 1 species
UAACACGUGGGUAACCUGCCUUAUAGUGGGGGAUAGCCUUUCGAAAGGAAGAUUAAUACCGCAUAAGAUUGUAGUAUCGCAUGAUAUAGCAAUUAAAGGAGCAACCCGCUAUAAGAUGGACCCGCGUCGCAUUAGCUAGUUGGUGAGGUGAUGGCUCACCAAGGCGACGAUGCGUAGCCGACCUGAGAGGGUGAUCGGCCACAUUGGGACUGAGACACGGCCCAGACUCCUACGGGAGGCAGCAUG